rnacentral:rRNA from 1 species
UACCCGCUGAACUUAAGCAUAUCAAUAAGCGGAGGAAAAGAAUCCAACCGGGAUUACCUCAGUAACGGCGAGUGAAGCGGCAAGAGCUCAAAUUUGAAAGCUGGCUCCUUCGGAGUCCGCAUUGUAAUUUGCAGAGGAUGCUUUGGGUGCGGCCCCCGUCUAAGUGCCCUGGAACGGGCCGUCAGAGAGGGUGAGAAUCCCGUCUUGGGCGGGGUGUCCGUGCCCGUGUAAAGCUCCUUCGACGAGUCGAGUUGUUUGGGAAUGCAGCUCUAAAUGGGUGGUAAAUUUCAUCUAAAGCUAAAUACUGGCCGGAGACCGAUAGCGCACAAGUAGAGUGAUCGAAAGAUGAAAAGCACUUUGAAAAGAGAGUUAAACAGCACGUGAAAUUGUUGAAAGGGAAGCGCUUGCGACCAGACUCGCCCGCGGGGUUCAGCCGGCAUUCGUGCCGGUGUACUUCCCCGUGGGCGGGCCAGCGUCGGUUUGGGCGGCCGGUCAAAGGCCCCUGGAAUGUAGUGCCCUCCGGGGCACCUUAUAGCCAGGGGUGCAAUGCGGCCAGCCUGGACCGAGGAACGCGCUUCGGCACGGACGCUGGCAUAAUGGUCGUAAACGACCCGUCUUGAAACACGGACC